rnacentral:pre_miRNA from 1 species
UAAAUACUCCCUCCGUCCCAUAUUAAGUGACUUUCUAUUACAUGUAUCUAGACGUAUUUUAGACAUAGAUACAUCCAUAUUUGAGCAAAUUUGAGUCACUUAAUGUGGGAUGGGGGGAUUAUAAG